UCGAGAAGCAGGUGGCGGACACCUCCGCGCCCGCGGAGCGUGUGGCGGUCUACCUGAACGCGGUCGCCCAGCAGUUGAGGCCGCUGUCCCGGA
rnacentral:tRNA from 1 species